rnacentral:rRNA from 1 species
UACGUAGGUGGCAAGCGUUGUCCGGAUUACUGGGCGUAAAGAGCGCGCAGGCGGUCGUUCAAGUCGCGUGUGAAAGCCCCCGGCUCAACUGGGGAGGGUCACGCGAUACUGAUCGACUCGAAGGCAGGAGAGGGUAGUGGAAUUCCCGGUGUAGUGGUGAAAUGCGUAGAUAUCGGGAGGAACACCAGUGGCGAAGGCGACUACCUGGCCGUGUUCUUGACGCUGAGCGCGGAAAGCUAGGGAGCAAAGCGGGGAUUAAGAAACCCCGAGUGACAGUCCGA